UAGACCAUUUAUGAAAUAGGCUAUUUAUAACCAGUGGAUCCUUUUAGGUGUGUGCCAGAUGAAGGAAGUAAUAAAUGCCCUAUUUGCACCAAGAAGGUUGUGUGAUAUUUGUUUCAAGCUGUUAUGUAGAGAUUAUGUCAGUUGUGUCUGUGUAUUGUGUUUUUGAUUCUAAUUUAAACAGCAGAAAUGUUGUAUGGAAAGCAACAUGAUUUGUUGUUGAAAACAUUGGAAUAACUGUGAUAAAUUUUUCUCUCUCGGUUCAUGCUAGUAUGGACCUGCAUACAGGACUGUGAAGGCCUCUGUGGCUGAGUGAUAAGGUUCAUGCUAGUAUGGACCUGCAUACAGGAUUGUAAAGGCCUCUGUGGCUGAGUGAUAAGGUUCAUGCUAGUAUGGACCUGCAUACAGGACCGUGAAGGCCUCUGUGGCUGAGUGAUAAGGUUCAUGCUAGUAUGGACCUGCAUACAGGACCGUGAAGGCCUCUGUGGCUGAGUGAUAAGGUUCAUGCUAGUAUGGACCUGCAUACAGGACCGUGAAGGCCUCUGUGGCUGAGUGAUAAGGUUCAUGCUAGUAUGGACCUGCAUACAGGACCGUGAAGGCCUCUGUGGCUGAGUGAUAAGGUUCAUGCUAGUAUGGACCUGCAUACAGGACUGUGAAGGCCUCUGUGGCUGAGUGA
rnacentral:lncRNA from 1 species